rnacentral:lncRNA from 1 species
GCGCCCCAAGUCUACACCAUAAUCACGAGAUAAUAACAUUCUUAAUCUGCAAAAUUAUUUACAAGAAUGAGCACGAUAGCCCUGCAAGUUAAGCUAACACAUUUUAUGCUUCACAUACUAUACAUGUCUUGCAUUGCAUUCAUGCGUCAGGUAUUUCAUGUUGUGCAUUUCAUAAAUACAGACCUCAAAUGUUUCAUGUUACGUAAUUUACAUAUGUUCUUCAAUUUACAUACAUCACAUCUAACUAUUUCCACAUAAUACAUGCUUUACACAAACAUAUACUUCAAGUUCACAUAGAACAAUAAUAUUUUAGUUCUUUAUUGCAAAUCAACAGUUUAACACAUCCAUAUAGAAUAUUUUCACGUAACAACAAAAUAUAUACUUACUGAAAGAACUUGCAUGUAUCAUUGUUCACCAUUUUACGCUCAUUGAACAUCCAUUGUAUAACUUUACUUGUUGUUUAAUAUCCUCCGCACAUUACUCUUUGUUGUAUAACCCUUUUGUUGAUCCACAUUAAGCUUCCUUACCACAACUUCUUUUAGUUUUUUUUACUGCAUAUAGGAUACACCUGUUGAGUUGUAAACAUAUUAGAGAAAUGAUCCACAAAAGCAUUUUUAACCUCAUCAUAAUCUUCCAACAUAAUUUCGUCAACACCCUUAUACUUAGAAUCUUGUUUCUAGCUCUAUUAAAGUUCACCAUCUUAUGAAAGUAAGUAGUAUUAUCAUCCCUCAAAUUCAACCGUUGAUUCCUAGAUUUUGCUUAGCAAAAACUUUCUUCAGCUUCCCUCAACUCAAAGCAUAUUUUUAAAUCUUUCAAAGCAUAUUUCACAUUGUUCAAUUUUUUUACAGUAUAUAUAUAUAUGGGGAUUUAAUAUUAUAUGUAUAUACGAUAUAUAAUGUUUAUCAAGGGAAUUAUAUGCUUAUACAUACUAACAUAUAUGUAUUUCAUAGUGUACACACCAUUAUACACCAUUGGUUUGACAGGCUAAAGUGAUGAGUACCUUAUAUCCAUUAUUUGCCUUUCAUACUGGUGCCUAUAUUUUACACACCAAGCUUACAUCAUUUCACACAAAUGUAUGCUUAUUUUAAAACACUAUACUCAACAUAAUGUAAUAUCAUAUUGAUGUAUCUUACACUGACACAAACAGUUUUCAUAUUAUUACUUACUAUACAAUACGUUUAUUUAAUAUAUAUAUAUAUAUAUAGUAAGUAACAUAGUGACUUAUUAUAGUGUUUAUGAAACUUACACAUUAUUUGCCUCAUGAAACUUACCUGAUUUACAAUGGCAUACAAGGAAUUCUCAUAAAUACAUAUAUCAAUAUGAAAUCCUCUCUUCACCAAUUUCCUUAAAAAUCAAACCAGUUCCAUCUAUUUCCCCAUUUUUACAAAAACACUGAAACAUAACAUAGUAAGUUAAAUCAUCUACUUUAAGCCUCUUAUCAUGCAAUUCUUUAAGAACCUCUUUAGCUAACAAUCCCUCAUUUUCUCUACACAAAGCCCCAAUAGAUUUUAAGUUAAAAGAGCAAAUGGGUAUUUGGAAAAUUAGAUUUUAGAGUACCAAAUCUAUCAAUUAAUGAAGUCAGCAACAAACAGUGGCGAAGCCACAUAGAACUUUGUGGGGUCAAUCGACCCCACUGAAAAAAAAUUGCUUUAUAAUAUAAGGUAAAUUUAAAUUUUUUUAAGUAUUAUAUAUAAAUUAACUCUAUUAAAAUUUUAUAAAUUUUCUAUUAUACGGGAUCAAAUUGAAAAUUUAUAAUCACAUAUGACUCAUAUCCUCUCAAUAUAUGUAUCUCUAUAAUAUUUCAAACUAAAUAAUAAUUUAAUUUAUAUUAUUUUUAAAAAUAAUUAAUGAAUUACUUAUUAUGAACAGUUGUGAUUAAAAAAGUCUAUUAUGAGUUAAUAUAGUGUAUAUAUACCAUAUAUUAUUACUUAUUAUAUUUUCAUUGUAAUAUAUAUAUAUAUAUAUAUAUACUCGAAAAUAUAAAGUAUUAAAAAAAAUUGACUCGGGGCAUGCCCCCAACCCCCACCAAAUUAUUUGUAAUUCAGUAAUAAUUUCAAUCUCACUUACAAAAAUUUCUGGCUUGGCCACUGACAACAAACACAUCAAUUGUGAGGUUUAAUCAAUGUGCUCUGUUUCUCCGUACUACAAUACCCAAACUAAUUAAUGAAUGAAAAGAAACAUUAAGUUUAAGAGAGAUGGGGACGAAAUGGAAAUAAAAAAUUUUGAUUAUGGAGGAUUGCAAUAUAUGUUUGAGCAAGAUAACCUCAUAUAGGUAUUUUAUCAAACACAUAUUCUGCAUACUUUAAAAACUCAAAUCUUCUAUGAAUUUAAAGCAUAGACUUCACUCCAUAAUCCAUUUCAUCCUUAUACUUCGAAUCCUUCAUGAUUUCCAAAUUAAUUCGUACUCCCACAACAACAAUUCAUAACAAUAACAAUUAUUCUCUACUUUAGUUUUCAUGAGUUUAUCAAAUAAGUAUAACUUACCUUGCUUGCGUUGGGACUUUGGCUAAAUCCACGCUUCAGUGGCUGAUUUGAACCAUUACUUGAAUGGUAUUUUACUCUAAUCCUUCCUUAAAUUUAGUUGGUAACUGUUGGAAAAUUUGGUGAUUUCUUUACAGAAAUUAAAGAUGUUUGCAAGAAUUAAUAAGGAAGUUGGGCAUGAGACUUGUUUUGGGACGGAUAGGAGAAAACAGGGAAUGGAGUGGCUGUACAUAUUGCAUAAGGCUAAGAAAUCUUACUCACUUUCCACUAAAGUAGAAAAGCUAGGUGUCACACUAGUUGCUAAAUAGCACAACACCUCCUGCUAAAUUAUUGACUCAGCAUUCAUCAUAUACGCAUAAUAUAUAUUAUAUAUCGUAUACAUAUCACUUAUUCCACCC